rnacentral:rRNA from 1 species
AUUGAACGCUGGCGGCAUGCUUUACACAUGCAAGUCGAACGGUAACAGGUUAAGCUGACGAGUGGCGAACGGGUGAGUAAUGCAUCGGAACGUGCCCGAUCGUGGGGGAUAACGCAGCGAAAGCUGCGCUAAUACCGCAUACGAUCUGAGGAUGAAAGCGGGGGACCGUAAGGCCUCGCGCGAUCGGAGCGGCCGAUGUCAGAUUCGGUAGUUGGUGGGGUAAAGGCCCACCAAGACGACGAUCUGUAGCUGGUCUGAGAGGACGACCAGCCACACUGGGACUGAGACACGGCCCAGACUCCUACGGGAGGCAGCAGUGGGGAAUUUUGGACAAUGGGCGAAAGCCUGAUCCAGCAAUGCCGCGUGCAGGAAGAAGGCCUUCGGGUUGUAAACUGCUUUUGUACGGAGCGAAAAGGUCCUUUCUAAUACAAGGGGCUCAUGACGGUACCAUAAGAAUAAGCACCGGCUAACUACGUGCCGGCAGCCGCCGCAGUAA